rnacentral:rRNA from 1 species
UGACCUCGGAUCAGGUAGGGAUACCCGCUGAACUUAAGCAUAUCAAUAAGCGGAGGAAAAGAAACCAACAGGGAUUACCUCAGUAACGGCGAGUGAAGCGGUAAGAGCUCAAAUUUGAAAGCUGGCUCCUUCGGGGUCCGCAUUGUAAUUUGCAGAGGAUGCUUCGGGAGCGGUCCCCAUCUAAGUGCCCUGGAACGGGACGUCAUAGAGGGUGAGAAUCCCGUAUGGGAUGGGGUGUCCGCGCCCGUGUGAAGCUCCUUCGACGAGUCGAGUUGUUUGGGAAUGCAGCUCUAAAUGGGUGGUAAAUUUCAUCUAAAGCUAAAUAUUGGCCGGAGACCGAUAGCGCACAAGUAGAGUGAUCGAAAGAUGAAAAGCACUUUGAAAAGAGAGUUAAAAAGCACGUGAAAUUGUUGAAAGGGAAGCGCUUGCGACCAGACUCGCUCGCGGGGUUCAGCCGGCAUUCGUGCCGGUGUACUUCCCCGCGAGCGGGCCAACGUCGGUUUGGGCGGUCAGUCAAAGGCCCCUGGAAGGUAACGCCCCCUCGGGGGCGUCUUAUAGCCAGGGGUGCAAUGUGGCCUGCCUGGACCGAGGAACGCGCUUCGGCUCGGA